rnacentral:rRNA from 1 species
CCAGACUCCUACGGGAGGCAGCAGUGGGGAAUAUUGCACAAUGGGGGAAACCCUGAUGCAGCGACGCCGCGUGAGUGAAGAAGUAUUUCGGUAUGUAAAGCUCUAUCAGCAGGGAAGAAAAUGACGGUACCUGACUAAGAAGCCCCGGCUAACUACGUGCCAGCAGCCGCGGUAAUACGUAGGGGGCAAGCGUUAUCCGGAUUUACUGGGUGUAAAGGGAGCGUAGACGGCAGGGCAAGCCAGAAGUGAAAACGCAGAGCUUAACUUUGCGACUGCUUUUGGAACUGCCCAGCUAGAGUACAGGAGAGGUAAGUGGAAUUCCUAGUGUAGCGGUGAAAUGCGUAGAUAUUAGGAGGAACACCAGUGGCGAAGGCGGCUUACUGGACUGAGACUGACGUUGAGGCUCGAAAGCGUGGGGAGCAAACAGGAUUAGAUACCCCAGUA